UACGGAGGGUGCAAGCGUUGCUCGGAAUUACUGGGCGUAAAGAGCUCGUAGGUGGUUUGUCGCGUUGUUCGUGAAAACUCACAGCUCAACUGUGGGCGUGCGGGCGAUACGGGCAGACUGGAGUACUGCAGGGGAGACUGGAAUUCCUGGUGUAGCGGUGAAAUGCGCAGAUAUCAGGAGGAACACCGGUGGCGAAGGCGGGUCUCUGGGCCGAUACUGACGCUGGAGGAGCG
rnacentral:rRNA from 1 species